CCUACGGGAGUCAGCAGUGGGGAAUAUUGCGCAAUGGGCGAAAGCCUGACGCAGCGACGCCGCGUGAGGGAUGAAGGUCUUCGGAUCGUAAACCUUUGUCAGCAGGGAAGAACGGUCACUGUGCUAAUCAGCAGUGAAUUGACGGUACCUGCAAAGGAAGCACCGGCUAACUCCGUGCCAGCAGCCGAGGUCAUACGGAGGGUGCGAGCGGUGAUCGGAAUUACUGGGCUUAAAGCGCUCGUAGGCGGUAUGUCAAGUCAAGGGUGAAAUCCCCGCGCUCAACGGGGGAACUGCCUUUGAAACUGGCAACCUUGAGUGUGUGAGAGGAUAGUGGAAUUCCUGGUGUAGGGGUGAAAUCCGUAGAUAUCAGGAGGAACAUCAGUGGCGAAGGCGACUAUCUGGCACAUAACUGACGCUGAGGAGCGAAAGCGUGGGUAGCAAACAGGAUUAGAUACCCGUGUAGUC
rnacentral:rRNA from 1 species